GAUGAACGCUAGCGGCAGGCUUAACACAUGCAAGUCGAGGGGCAGCGGGGUAGCAAUACCGCCGGCGACCGGCAAACGGGUGCGGAACACGUACGCAAUCUACCGUUACCUGGGGCAUAGCCCGGAGAAAUCCGGAUUAACUCCCCAUAACAUAGUGGUGUGGCAUCACACUAUUAUUAAAAAGUUAUUGGGUAAUGAUGAGCGUGCGUCCCAUUAGCUAGUUGGUAGGGUAACGGCCUACCAAGGCGACGAUGGGUAGCUGGUGUGAGAGCACGACCAGCCACACGGGCACUGAGACACGGGCCCGACUCCUACGGGAGGCAGCAGUGAGGAAUAUUGGUCAAUGGACGCAAGUCUGAACCAGCCAUGCCGCGUGAAGGAUGAAGGCCUUCUGGGUUGUAAACUUCUUUUAUUGGGGAAGAAAAUUACGGUUUCUACUGUAACCGACGGUACCCAAGGAAUCAGCACCGGCUAACUCCGUGCCAGCAGCCGCCGUAACAC
rnacentral:rRNA from 1 species